rnacentral:lncRNA from 1 species
UGGGGGGAGGGGAGGUCCGUUGAGUUGGCCCUGCAGUGUCGUCUCGCUGUUCCUCUACCUUCUUCUUCCCCAUCCCCCCCGCUCCCCCAUUUUUCCCCUGCUGCAUGAAUCGGCCCGCAGUGCUGCGAUCAUGUGGGUCUGUUGCUGUCCUUCCUGAUUUUUUUCUUAAUCACAGUCGCAGUUCAUGGCAGCAUCAGUUCUCCUCUCGUCCAUCCUCGAAGAGCUGCGUAGUCCUCCCUUGACGGCGGAACAUGGCCUUCCGGAGCAUCUGCAGAUCCACUGUGCCCUUCCAUGUCAAUGGCUGAUCUGAAGCACAUCAGUCUGCGGCCUUGGAUAGAACUGGGAUGAACAAAACGGGGUUCUGAAAUUAAAUGAACAGAUUUUUUUUUAUGCAAUCGCCGCUCCAGUUCUAGCCAAUCUCCAGUCUGUAUACAAGAAAAAAAUAAUGUCAGAUGAAGAUAAGAUAAUUCCCCGUAAAAAAGACAAUAAUCUCCCAUUUUCUGAUAAUAUGGUUCGCUCUAAUUAAUCAUAUUCUGCAUUUAUUCGAACAUUCGUCUGUGCUUCAUGAUUUUUGGAAAGUGUUCAUGAAAUCGUGACGCUUACUCCGGUGGCCUGAGAUGUAUAGCACGAAACUGUCGGGCAUUUAACGCAAUUAAAGGAAUUUGGAACGUCUGAGUUGCAGGAGGCGCAAUGGAGAAAAAUGCUUAGAUCACCGGCGGUUGUUGCUUCGAUCAGGAGGCUCGUAGAAGUUUCUGCUGCUGGUUAAAAUCUCGGCGGGGUCUCAGCAGAGAACGUGAAUCACAGAAUCCAUACGUUCAUCCGAACUUGAAUUCGCGUUCAGAGAAAAUUCGAUUGGCUCGAACGGUCGUGGUUUAUCAAAGAAAGGAAGAGUAACCUGAUUCGAGCGGGAGCAACGACGAGCAGGAGCGAAUUAACGUGGCCGUCGAUCUCAAGAAGAGAGGGGUCGGAUCAUACGAUGACUUCCCGUCUCUGGAUCGACGAUCUCAAUUCUUCCUGCUCACAUGCAGACGUCAAGGCCAAUUUCCCUCCCUCAUCAGACUGUCAGACGUCCGGUUUGGAGGACGAUGAGGCGAAGUAGCCGCAACGAGGACGAACGACGGAGGGAGGGAGACGGCCGCCGCUCCUGAGCUGCAGUUCCUCUCUCUCUCUCUCUCUCU